rnacentral:tRNA from 1 species
AUAAAAGUGGCAGAAAAUUGCAUUAGAUUUAGGCUCUAAAUAUAAAGAUAUUCUCUUUCUUUUAUA